CAGUCUGCUCCGCCGCGGCGCCGCUCCGGUCUUCUUCUUCGGUCUCUUCUUCGCAAUCAUCGUGAGUAUUUCUCCUCAAUUUUUUCAGCUAAUCACUAAUUGCAUUUAUAAAUUUUGAAGCUGAGCAACUGAUUUAGUAUUAUGUCUUCUUUUUUUCUGUAUAGCCGUUCAAGCAUUUGGGUCUUUUUGUUAAUUUUCUAUCCUCAUUUUGUUCUAUGGCAGAUGUGAUGAAAAUCUCUUAUUUCUAGCUGUCUGGUAUAAUUGAAUGAGUCAAGUAAAUUUAAUUGGCUUGUCAUUUCGAGACCUCAGAGUUAAUCCAUCAGAUCAAUGACAUUUGCUUUAUGGGUCUCUAUGAAUCACUUGUAAAAAUAGGCUGUUCUCUUUGUUAUUUUCCAGCUACAAAACUUAUAGCAAUGUCUUAUUCUAUUUUGUUGAGUACAACUCUUAGUUUAUUUGAUUUUUUUUGCAAGUUGUUUUUAUAAUUUUGUAAAUGUAUACUUUGACAAUUUGAUUGGAUGAAGUUCACAUAAUACUUUCAAUUAGAAAGACAUUAAAAACAAAUAUGAAAUAAGAUGGGAACUAGACUGACUUUGACAAUUUAAAAAGGGGUUGAGUUGUUUGUACUCCAGGAUUACCUUCUCAAAUUAUUCCUAAUUAGGAAUGCUUUUGUUUUGGUAGGAGACUUGAUCUCCCAGUUUGGUCACAAACAUGUAAACGAGUAGGAAUGUG
rnacentral:lncRNA from 1 species